AUUGAACGCUGGCGGCAGGCCUAACACAUGCAAGUCGAGCGGAUGAAGGGAGCUUGCUCCUGGAUUCAGCGGCGGACGGGUGAGUAAUGCCUAGGGAUCUGCCUGGUAGUGGGGGAUAACGUCCGGAAACGGGCGCUAAUACCGCAUACGUCCUGAGGGAGAAAGUGGGGGAUCUUCGGACCUCACGCUAUCAGAUGAGCCUAGGUCGGAUUAGCUAGUUGGUGGGGUAAAGGCCUACCAAGGCGACGAUCCGUAACUGGUCUGAGAGGAUGAUCAGUCACACUGGAACUGAGACACGGUCCAGACUCCUACGGGAGGCAGCAGUGGGGAAUAUUGGACAAUGGGCGAAAGCCUGAUCCAGCCAUACCGCGUGUGUGAAGAAGGUCUUCGGAUUGUAAAGCACUUUAAGUUGGGAGGAAGGGCAGUAAGUUAAGACCUUGCUGUUUUGACGUUACCAACAGAAUAAGCACCGGCUAACUUCGU
rnacentral:rRNA from 1 species